rnacentral:rRNA from 2 species
ACCUUUUGUAUAAUGGGUCAGCGAGUUACUUUCAGUGGCGAGGUUAACUGAAUAAGGGAGCCGUAGAGAAAUCGAGUCUGAAUAGGGCGAUAGUCGCUGGGAGUAGACCCGAAACCGGGCGAUCUAGCCAUGUGCAGGAUGAAGGUUGGGUAACACCAACUGGAGGUCCGAACCGGGUAAUGUUGAAAAAUUAUCGGAUGACGUGUGGCUAGGAGUGAAAGGCUAAUCAAGCCCGGAGAUAGCUGGUUCUCCCCGAAAGCUAUUUAGGUAGCGCCUCGUGAAUGAUUACUGGGGGUAGAGCACUGUUUCGGCUAGGGGGCUGUCAUGGCUUACCAAACCGAUGCAAACUCCGAAUACCGGCUAAUUGGAUCACGGGAGACACACGGCGGGUGCUAACGUCCGUCGUGGAGAGGGAAACAACCCAGACCGCCAGCUAAGGUCCCCAAGUACUAGUUAAGUGGGAAACGAUGUGGGAAGGCAUAGACAGCCAGGAGGUUGGCUUAGAAGCAGCCACCCUUUAAAGAAAGCGUAAUAGCUCACUGGUCGAGUCGGCCUGCGCGGAAGAUGUAACGGGGCUAAAACUAGUCACCGAAGCUGCGGAUGUGCGCGAAGGCGCACGUGGUAGGGGAGCGUUCUGUAGGCUGAUGAAGGUGCAUUGAGAAGUGUGCUGGAGGUAUCAGAAGUGCGAAUGCUGACAUGAGUAACGAUAAUGUGGGUGAAAAGCCCACACGCCGGAAGUCCCAGGUUUCCUGCACGACGUUAAUCGGAGCAGGGUGAGUCGGCCCCUAAGGCGAGGCU